UACCCAUAUUACAAAUGCGAAAUGUGUUUGUUUGUUGGUUUGUCCUUCAAUCACGUCGCAACGGGGCAACGGAAUGGGUAUAGUUUAAGACCUGGAGUGACAUAGGCUGCUUUUCGUCCCGGAAAAUCAAAUAGUUCCUAUGGGAUGUUUAGAAACCUAAAUCCACGCGGACGAAGUCGCGGGCAUCAGCCAGUUAGUGAUAAUUUGUAAAAAAUAAUU